rnacentral:rRNA from 1 species
GAUGAACGCUGGCGGCGUGCUUAACACAUGCAAGUCGAACGAUGAAGCCCAGCUUGCUAGGUGGAUUAGUGGCGAACGGGUGAGUAACACGUGAGUAACCUGCCCUUAACUCUGGGAUAAGCCUGGGAAACUGGGUCUAAUACCGGAUAGGAGCGCCUACCGCAUGGUGGGUGUUGGAAAGAUUUAUCGGUUUUGGAUGGACUCGCGGCCUAUCAGCUUGUUGGUGAGGUAAUGGCUCACCAAGGCGACGACGGGUAGCCGGCCUGAGAGGGUGACCGGCCACACUGGGACUGAGACACGGCCCAGACUCCUACGGGAGGCAGCAGUGGGGAAUAUUGCACAAUGGGCGAAAGCCUGAUGCAGCGACGCCGCGUGAGGGAUGACGGCCUUCGGGUUGUAAACCUCUUUCAGUAGGGAAGAAGCGAAAGUGACGGUACCUGCAGAAGAAGCACCGGCUAACUACGUG